rnacentral:lncRNA from 10 species
ACACACAGCUAGCUCUUCAGGCCAGGCCCCCAGGGUUUCGUCCACCUCUCACCUUUGACGACGCGGUCAGCCCCGGGAGGGGGCGGCGGGGGCGGGGGUGGGGGCGGUGCAGCCCGGGCCGGCUCCGGGGCGGCCAUGCUGGGCCCGGGGCUCGGCUAGGCUCUGGGCCGGGCGGGGUUGGGGGCGGGGGCGGCGGCUACCAGAGCCAAGCGGCGGCGCCGCCGGGGAACAUGGCGGACCCUCUUUCCCUACAGAGGGGCUAAGACCGGCAUGCACUGCGCGUGCGGGGGUGGGGGCGGGGUAGGCUCUAGGGACUUGGGCAAAAUUACUGAAGCUAGGAGAGAAACAGGACGAGGCCAAGGGAUCAGGUUAAAAUUCUUUGCAUGCAGAAUGAAGAAUGAGGAGGUGCUGCGAUCGAACGACUGCGAGGAAACACACCCGCUCUCAUGGCAUUCCCAGUAAACUGAGAAGACGUGAUUAAACCUCAGGAUCUCCUACUAAUAGAGAAAUGUAUAACGAUUUAGCUACCAGAUCUGAAUACUGAAGGGUUGGUAGGGGACCAGAGAAUAGAGGAAGCAUUGUAGGUUCUAGAGUGGAGAAGGGACCAUCCAAAAUGGAGUUUGAAAGAGAAUUCUGGCCUUUGUGUUUAGAGUCUGGAAUUGUCAAGAGUCUGAAAGCACAGAAUAAGACUGCAGCUAGAGCAAUUUAGGCGCCAUAGUUUGUCAAAACAGGACUCUAGCCCUGAUCUGCUCUCUUCUGGGAGCAUCUGAUAGAACAAACAGAAACCCCUCUCCCACUGUUCUCCUGUGUCCAGAGUGGGAGGCAUAACUGCUUUGCCUCCAGUCAUCAUCUGGGGGCAUAUCUACUCUUCGAGGACCAGGGGUUCGGGACCCUGGAACAGGAUCUGAAUUCCAAGCUGACCUCAGGGGUACAUGAAGACUGCUAGAUGAGACGGGAUCUCACUGUGUUGCCCAGGCUGGUCUCGAACUGCUGGACUCAAGUCAUCCUCCCAUCUUGGCCUCCCAAAGUGCUGGAAUUACAGUGGACAACCUUCAAUGCACUGGUACUUUGUACCCUGACCUCUACUGUGAUGAACACUCAACUUGGGCAAGGAAGUGAAAUUCUCCAAAGGAAUUAUUAAGAUAAGGACCAGCAGUACAAUGAGCUUUUCACUGUAUGUCUGACCUGAAAGAAGAAAAUCUUUUCAGAGGACUCCUCUCUCCCCUUCAGUCGCCAAGACAAUGAGAGCUCUUGCUACAGAAUACUCAUGGUCAUUUCUUCCCCU